rnacentral:lncRNA from 1 species
GUAAACAAUUCUUAUUGUUAUGAAGGAGUUUAAAAGCUCCUCGGAUUAUUUAAAUGUCAUGGGGAAAAAAAAAAAUCAAACUUAAGAAAAAUCUCCAUUUCAUUUUUCUAGCAUAUGAACUGUGUUUGAAGAAAAAUCCUGGAUGAGUAUCACCAGAGGUGUUACUAAAGGAGCAUCAGCUACUCUACAGGCAAGAGAAGGAAAAGUGCUCUAUGUAUUUGUAACUUGUGGUCUAAAAGGACAAGGAGCUCUGAAUCACACUGGGACCCUCUUUACUGGUAUUGCUAACACAGUUGGAUUCCUGUACUGUAAAGGUGGUAAAGAUGAAGGAGCUACAAAUGACUAG